rnacentral:pre_miRNA from 9 species
UAGUUCCUGCUGGAGAAGCAGGGCACGUGCAAACCCCAACACUCCUUGGUUUCUUGAAUGCCAAUGGAAACUAUACUCUUUUGCACGUGCUCCCCUUCUCCAACAUGGUCUC